rnacentral:rRNA from 1 species
UACAGAGGUGGCAAGCGUUGUUCGGAAUUACUGGGCGUAAAGGGCGCGUAGGCGGUCAGGUCAGUCCCGUGUGAAAUCUCUCGGCUCAACUGAGGAACUGCACGGGAAACUGCCUGGCUUGAGUUCGGGAGAGGGAAGCGGAAUUCCGGGUGUAGCGGUGAAAUGCGUAGAUAUCCGGAGGAACACCGGUGGCGAAGGCGGCUUCCUGGACCGACACUGACGCUGAGGCGCGAAAGCUAGGGGAGCAAACGGG